rnacentral:tRNA from 1 species
UCCCUGAAGGACUAGUGGUUAGGCCACAGAGCUCUCACUGCUACAGCCCGGGUUCGAUUCCCGGCCAUGGAA